CACGUUGCCCCGGCGGGCAGCCCCUCUCGGGAGGGGCGAACGGGCCCCGGCCCGCCCGCCGGGGGGACGAAAACCAAACUCUUGUUGCGAACGCAGUGGCACAUCCGAGUCAAACAAAAAAACAAGUUAAAACUUUCAACAACGGAUCUCUUGGUUCUGGCAUCGAUGAAGAACGCAGCGAAAUGCGAUAAGUAAUGUGAAUUGCAGAAUUCAGUGAAUCAUCGAAUCUUUGAACGCACAUUGCGCCCGCCAGUAUUCUGGCGGGCAUGCCUGUUCGAGCGUCAUUUCAACCCCUCGGGCCCCCGGGCCCGGCGUCGGGGCCUUCCCGCCUCCGGGCGGGAGCCCCCAGAGACAGUGGCGGACCCGCCGCGGCUCCGAGCGCAGUAAUCUUGCAACGCUCCGGUGCCCCGCGGCGGGCCUCCUGCCGUGAAACACCCCACUCCACAAGGUUGACCUCGGAUCAGGUAGGAAUACCCGCUGAACUUAAGCAUAUCAAUAAGCGGAGGAAAAGAAACCAACAGGGAUUGCCCCAGUAACGGCGAGUGAAGCGGCAACAGCUCAGAUUUGAAAUCGGGCCCCCAGGGUCCGAGUUGUAAUCUGUAGAGGAUGCUUCUGGCAAGGCGCCGUCCGAGUUCCCUGGAACGGGACGCCGGAGAGGGUGAGAGCCCCGUACAGGCGGACGCCGAGCCUCUGUGAAGCUCCUUCGACGAGUCGAGUAGUUUGGGAAUGCUGCUCAAAGCGGGAGGUAAAUUUCUUCUAAAGCUAAAUAUUGGCCAGAGACCGAUAGCGCACAAGUAGAGUGAUCGAAAGAUGAAAAGCACUUUGAAAAGAGGGUUAAAAAGCACGUGAAAUUGUUGAAAGGGAAGCGCCUGUGACCAGACUCGCGCCCGGCGGAUCAUCCGGCGUUCUCGCCGGUGCACUCCGCCGGGCUCGGGSSRGCAUCGGUUCUGGUGGGGGGAUAAAGGCGGCGGGG
rnacentral:rRNA from 1 species